rnacentral:rRNA from 1 species
GAUGAACGCUAGCGGCAGGCUUAAUACAUGCAAGUCGAGGGGCAUCAAGGUACACGAAAGUGUAUUGUUGGCGACCGGCGGACGGGUGAGUAAUAGGUAGGUAACCUACCUCAUACUGAGGCAUAGCUGGGAGAAAUUCCAGGUAAUUCCUCAUGAGGUUAUAUGGCACAUGUGAUAUAAUCAAAGGUAUCGCAAGGUACUGGUAUGAGAUGGGCUUACUGACCAUUAGCUAGUUGGUGAGAUAAGAGCUCACCAAGGCGAAGAUGGUUAGGGGUUUUGAGAGAGAGAUCCCCCACAUUGGAACUGAGAUACGGUCCAGACUCCUACGGGAGGCAGCAGUAGGGAAUAUUGGGCAAUGGGCGGAAGCCUGACCCAGCCAUGCCGCGUGAAGGAAGACGGCCUUAUGGGUUGUAAACUUCUUUACUAUGCGACUAACUAGAUUUACGAGAUAAUUCUAUAGAAUGUAGCAUAGCAAAAGCACCGG